CCCUUAGAUGUUCUGGGCUGCACGCGCGCUACACUGAUGCGAUCAACAAGUUUUUCCUAUGUCGAUAGACACGGGUAAUCUUUUGAACUCGCAUCGUGAUGGGGAUAGAUUAUUGUAAUUAUUAAUCUUCAACGAGGAAUUCCUAGUAGGUGCAAAUCAUCAGUUUGCAUCGAUUACGUCCCUGCCCUUUGUACACACCGCCUGUCGCUGCUACCGAUUGGUUGAUCUGGUGAAUUAUUCGGACUGCCGGCUGAAGGGGUUUCCUCAUCUGCCAGCGGAAAGUCUUGUUAACCCUAUCAACUAGAGGAAGCAGAAGUCGUAACA
rnacentral:rRNA from 1 species